rnacentral:rRNA from 1 species
UACAGAGGUCUCAAGCGUUGUUCGGGUUCAUUGGGCGUAAAGGGUGUGUAGGUGGCGCCGUAAGUCGGGUGUGAAAUUUCGGAGCUUAACUCCGAAACUGCAUUCGAUACUGCGGUGCUUGAGGACUGGAGAGGAGACUGGAAUUCAUGGUGUAGCAGUGAAAUGCGUAGAGAUCAUGAGGAAGACCAGUGGCGAAGGCGGGUCUCUGGACAGUUCCUGACACUGAGACACGAAGGCCAGGGGAGCAAACGGG